CGGAUCGUAGCGCAGCCUGGUAGCGCGCCUCGUUCGGGACGAGGAAGUCGUGAGUUCGAAUCUCGCCGAUCCGACCA
rnacentral:tRNA from 1 species